UACGUAGGGGGCAAGCGUUGUCCGGAUUCAUUGGGCGUAAAGAGCGUGUAGGCGGCCAGGUAGGUCGGUUGUGAAAACUGGAGGCUCAACCUUCAGAGGUCGACCGAAACCAUCUGGCUAGAGUCCGGGAGAGGAGAGUGGAAUUCCUGGUGUAGCGGUGAGAUGCGCAGAUAUCAGGAAGAACACCCGUGGCGAAAGCGGCUCUCUGGAACGGUACUGACGCUGAGACGCGAAAGCGUGGGAGCGAACAGG
rnacentral:rRNA from 1 species